UUCCAGACAAUCAGCAGCAGACCCUCCCUCCCAGACCCUCCCACCUCCUGGACAGCAUCCAUUGUGAAGCUGCAUUCUUAGUGAGCUGUCCAGGAGGUGGGAGGGUCUGGGAGGGAGGGUCUGCUGCUUAUUGGCUGG